rnacentral:rRNA from 1 species
CCUACGGGUGGCAGCAGUGGGGACAAUUGGACAAUGGGGGAAACCCUGAUCCAGCGACGCCGCGUGAGUGAAGAAGUAUUUCGGUACGUAAAGCUCUAUCAGCAGGGAAGAAAAAAAGUCCUUUGGACUUUUGACGGUACCUGACCAAGAAGCCCCGGCUAACUACGUGCCAGCAGCCGCGGUAAUACGUAGGGGGCAAGCGUUAUCCGGAUUUACUGGGUGUAAAGGGAGCGUAGACGGCAGCGCAAGUCUGGAGUGAAAUGCCGGGGCCCAACCCCGGAACUGCUUUGGAAACUGGCGAACUAGAGGGCGGGAGGGGUAAGCGGAAUUGCUAGUGUAGCGGUGAAAUGCGUAGAUAUUAGGAGGAACACCGGUGGCGAAGGCGGCUUACUGGACCGUAACUGACGUUGAGGCUCGAAAGCGUGGGGAGCAAACAGGAUUAGAUACCCCAGUAGUC